GUGAAAUCACUAAGUUAAUAUAAAUUCUUUCCAGAUUUAUUGGGGCUAAGAAAUUUAGAUUAAAAACCAGGAUUAGAUACCCUGUUAUUCUAAAUUAUAGUGUAAAGUAGGGUAGUAAAAGUAGUUCUUCAAACCCAAAGAUUUUGGCGGCACCCCAUCCUAAUAGAGGAGCUUGUCCUGUAAUUGAUAAUCCUCAUUUUAUCUUACCCGCCCUUGUUAAGCUUGUAUACCGCCGUUGGCAGAUUACUUUAAAAGAAUGUUUUCAAGAAAAAUAUUUUUUCUACUUCAGGUCAAGGUGCAGUUUAUGGGCAGGUAGCGAUGAGCUACAAUUUUAAUUAAAAAAACGGACUCUAGUUUAAAAACUAGUCGAAGGUGGAUUUAUUAGUAAAUUUAUUUAAGUAUAAUGAGUUGAAUGGGGCAAUGGGGUGUGUACAUAUCGCCCGUCACUNUCCUCNUNAGAGGAGAUAA
rnacentral:rRNA from 1 species